rnacentral:rRNA from 1 species
AUACAGAGGGUGCGAGCGUUAAUCGGAAUUACUGGGCGUAAAGCGCGCGUAGGCGGCUACUUAAGUCAGAUGUGAAAUCCCCGGGCUCAACCUGGGAACUGCAUCUGAUACUGGGUAGCUAGAGUUUUGGAGAGGGAAGUAGAAUUUCAGGUGUAGCGGUGAAAUGCAUAGAGAUCUGAAGGAAUACCAGUGGCGAAGGCGACUUCCUGGCCAAAAACUGACGCUGAGGUGCGAAAGCGUGGGUAGCAAACGGGAUUAGAUACCCCAGUAGUCC